CGGAAACGGGUGCUAAUACUGGAUAUUCACUGAUUCUCGCAUGGGGGUUGGUGGAAAGGUUUUUUCUGGUGGGGGAUGGGCUCGCGGCCUAUCAGCUUGUUGGUGGGGUGAUGGCCUACCAAGGCUUUGACGGGUAGCCGGCCUGAGAGGGUGACCGGUCACAUUGGGACUGAGAUACGGCCCAGACUCCUACGGGAGGCAGCAGUGGGGAAUAUUGCACAAUGGGCGAAAGCCUGAUGCAGCGACGCCGCGUGAGGGAUGGAGGCCUUCGGGUUGUAAACCUCUUUCGCUCAUGGUCAAGCCGCAACUUAGGGUUGUGGUGAGGGUAGUGGGUAAAGAAGCGCCGGCUAACUACGUGCCAGCAGCCGCGGUAAUACGUAGGGCGCGAGCGUUGUCCGGAAUUAUUGGGCGUAAAGGGCUUGUAGGCGGUUGGUCGCGUCUGCCGUGAAAUCCUCUGGCUUAACUGGGGGCGUGCGGUGGGUACGGGCUGACUUGAGUGCGGUAGGGGAGACUGGAACUCCUGGUGUAGCGGUGGAAUGCGCAGAUAUCAGGAAGAACACCGGUGGCGAAGGCGGGUCUCUGGGCCGU
rnacentral:rRNA from 1 species